rnacentral:rRNA from 1 species
GACGUAGGGCGCGAGCGUUGUCCGGAUUUAUUGGGCGGAAAGAGCUCGUAGGCGGCUCGUUGCGUCGGCUGUGAAAACCCACAGCUUAACUGUGGGCCUGCAGCCGAUACGGGCGAGCUAGAGUUCGGUAGGGGAGACUGGAAUUCCUGGUGUAGCGGUGAAAUGCGCAGAUAUCAGGAGGAACACCGGUGGCGAAGGCGGGUCUCUGGGCCGAUACUGACGCUGAGGAGCGAAAGCGUGGGGAGCGAACAGG